rnacentral:rRNA from 1 species
AACGAACGCUGGCGGCAUGCCUAACACAUGCAAGUCGAACGAGACCUUCGGGUCUAGUGGCGCACGGGUGCGUAACGCGUGGGAAUCUGCCCUUGGGUUCGGAAUAACUCGCCGAAAGGUGUGCUAAUACCGGAUGAUGUCGUAAGACCAAAGAUUUAUCGCCCAGGGAUGAGCCCGCGUAAGAUUAGGUAGUUGGUGAGGUAAAGGCUCACCAAGCCGACGAUCUUUAGCUGGUCUGAGAGGGUGAACGGCCACACUGGAACUGAGACACGGUCCAG